AUUGAACGCUGGCGGCAGGCCUAACACGUGCAAGUCCAACGAGCGGCGGACGGGUGAGUAAUGUCUGGGACACUGCCUGAUGGAGGGGGAUCACUACUGGAAACGGUAGCUAAUACCGCAUACCAUCGGAUGUGCCCAGAUGGGAUUAGCUAGUCGGUGGGGGAAAGGCUCACCUAGGCGACGAUCCCUAGCUGGUCUGAGAGGAUGACCAGCAACACGGGAACUGAGACACGGUCCAGAAGCAUACGGGAGGCAGCAGUGGGGAAGAUUGCACAAUGGGCGCAAGCCUGAUGCAGCCAUGCCGCGUGUAUGAAGAAGGCCGUCGGGUUGUAAAGUACUUUCAGCGGGGAGGCGUGACCCGCAGAAGAAGCACCGGCUAACUCCGUGCAAGCAGCAGCGGUAAUAC
rnacentral:rRNA from 1 species